AACGAACGCUGGCGGCAGGCUUAACACAUGCAAGUCGAACGGGCGUAGCAAUACGUCAGUGGCGGACGGGUGAGUAACACGUGGGAAUAUGCCUUUCGGUUCGGAACAACUCGGGGAAACCCGUGCUAAUUCCGGAUACGCCCUUACGGGGAAAGAUUUAUCGCCGAAAGAUUAGCCCGCGUUGGAUUAGCUAGUUGGUGAGGUAAAGGCUCACCAAGGCGACGAUCCAUAGCUGGUUUGAGAGAACGACCAGCCACACUGGGACUGAGACACGGCCCAGACUCCUACGGGAGGCAGCAGUGGGGAAGUCUUGCGCAAUGGGCGGAAAGCCUGACGCAGCGACGCCGCGUGAGGGAUGACGGCCU
rnacentral:rRNA from 1 species